rnacentral:rRNA from 1 species
GGACUACCAGGGUUUCUAAUCCUGUUUGCUCCCCACGCUUUCGCGCCUCAGCGUCAGUAUCGGACCAGGUCGCCGCCUUCGCCACCGGUGUUCUUCCCAAUAUCUACGAAUUUCACCUCUACACUGGGAAUUCCACGACCCUCUUCCGAACUCCAGACAAUACGUAUCAAACGCAGCCCCCAGGUUGAGCCCAGGAAUUUCACGCCUGACUGUACUAUCCGCCUACGCGCCCUUUACGCCCAGUCAAUCCGAGCAACGCUAGCCCCCUUCGUAUUACCGCGGCGGCUGGCAC